GACAGAGGGUGCAAACGUUGUUCGGAAUUACUGGGCGUAAAGCGCGUGUAGGCGGCCACCGCAAGUCGGUUGUGAAAUCUCCGGGCUUAACCCGGAAAGGUCAGUCGAUACUGCGGGGCUAGAGUGCAGAAGGGGCAACUGGAAUUCUCGGUGUAGCGGUGAAAUGCGUAGAUAUCGAGAGGAACACCUGCGGCGAAGGCGGGUUGCUGGGCUGACACUGACGCUGAAGCGCGAAAGCUAGGGGAGCGAACGGG
rnacentral:rRNA from 1 species